GGUAGGUAGCUCAGUGGUAGAGCGCUUGCCUUGCAUGCAUGAGGCCGUGGGUUCGAUUCCUCAGUACCA
rnacentral:tRNA from 1 species